rnacentral:rRNA from 1 species
UGGGGAAUAUUGCACAAUGGGCGCAAGCCUGAUGCAGCCAUGCCGCGUGUAUGAAGAAGGCCUUCGGGUUGUAAAGUACUUUCAGCGGGGAGGAAGGGAGUAAAGUUAAUACCUUUGCUCAUUGACGUUACCCGCAGAAGAAGCACCGGCUAACUCCGUGCCAGCAGCCGCGGUAAUACGGAGGGUGCAAGCGUUAAUCGGAAUUACUGGGCGUAAAGCGCACGCAGGCGGUUUGUUAAGUCAGAUGUGAAAUCCCCGGGCUCAACCUGGGAACUGCAUCUGAUACUGGCAAGCUUGAGUCUCGUAGAGGGGGGUCGAAUUCCCGGUGUAGCGAUGAAAUGCGUAGAGAUCUGGCGGAAUACCGGUGGCGAAGGCGGCCCCCUGGACAAAGACUGACGCUCAGGUGCGAAAGCGUGGGGAGCAAACAGG